AUCCCCAUCUCCUCUUCCCCUUCUACUCCACACCGCACAGACAAAUACUCUACGAGAGAGAGAGAGAGAGAGAAUUUUAAUUUUAGGAGAAAACUGUGGCCGCGUGCGUCGCGUCUCCUCCUAUCUUCUCCCCGAAGCUUCCGUAUCGCGGGCGCCUCCUUCCUUUCCCCCUCUAUCUAUCUACUCCCUUGGAAAUUUAUUCGGUCGCGUGGGGUUUGGAUCGGUGGAUCGAUCGAUCGAUCGAGCGAGCGAACGACGACUUGUGAGCAGGUUAAGGACAGGCAUACUGGACUGACUGUUUUAUGGCUAGACACCAUGGAAACCAUUCCCUACUGCCAGAGAUGGUUCAACCCAAUAAUGAGCAACUCAACCAACCUCUGCCUUUAGGUCAGAAGUUAUUUGUGCAUGCUGGAAAUGAUGCAGCCCUUAAAAUUGGCCCUUCAUACCAUGGGAAUGUGGCAAUUAGAUCGAAUGAUCUUCCAUCUUCAAGUCGAGUGGCACAAUAUUCAGGUCAUAGAGUUAAAAACACAGGAACCUUACAUAACUCCUAUGUUCACUAUCCUGCUGGAAGCUCUGGUGGCCAUGUAUCCUACAAUCCUCAAACUGAACCUGUUAUAACUUAUCCACAUAGAUCUGAGGGAGAAUUUGCUCGAGGGAGUUCCCAAAUCGACAACAGAACUGCUGCAGUGAAACGAAAAAAUCCUGUCAUUUAUCCAGAGUAUAGCAUCAAUGGUGAUGGUUAUUGUGCCGGUAGCUCAUCAAGUACCCAGUUCUCUAAUUAUCCACAGCCAGCUCCAUUUUCUGAGUCCUUGCAUCGUCAAAUGCCUCCAAGUGUUGGCCCAAUUAAUUGGAAUGACCAGAGCUUGGUAAAUCAAGAAGGAAGUCAGAGAAAUGUGAGGGCACGUCAUAAUUUUAAUAAUAUUUCAUUGGAACCUAGACCAGUCCAUUCUACUUCGAAUGUUUCCCAAAGUACAUCAAUGAAAAGGAAUGGACCAUCCUUUUCUACGCGAAUGAGAACUAUGCCUUCAGGUGCCUCUGGAAUGCACUCUGGAGAAAUGCCUUACACUAUGGGAAGCAGCAACUCAUCUGUUCCUGUCCCAACUUUACAAGGCUCUUCAAGCAGUGCAAUAUUUGCCAGUGGUGUCUUUGCACCUAGGCAUGUUCAUGGUGACACUGUUCCUAGCUACAUUCAUCUGCCUUCUGUAGCAUCCUCUAGCUCUACAGCGAUUCCCCAUGAGGUGAUCAUUCCGAGCUACCAACCUGCUACCUCUGCAACUACCUCAACACCCAUGAGGGCCAGUCAGCCAUUACCUGUCAGAGCUGUUGCAUCUUCUAGACAUGCAAGGAAUGUACUCAUAGGGCAUGCUAACAGCGGAAGGAACAGAAGGGCGAGAAGCUCAUACUAUGGUAUUCAGCCUUUGAUGAUUGAUGCACAGCAAUUGAUAAUGAUGCAACAAUUUGCUCUCCGCGAAUCAAGAGAAGCACAAGACCCCCACAGGGCCAUGAGACUGGACAUUGACAAUAUGAGUUAUGAGGACCUGCUGGCUUUGGGAGAAUCUAUUGGUAAUGUCUGCACAGGCUUGGUGGACGAGAAAAUCUCAGGUUGUGUGAGAGAAGUGAUCUAUUGCAGUUCUGAUGAACAGCAAAAUGAUCAAGAUGAUGGGAAAUGUGCAAUUUGUCUGGAGGAAUACAAAGACAACAGUUUGCUGGGAAUACUGAAAUGCAAUCACGACUUCCACACCGACUGCGUCAAGAAGUGGUUGAAGGAGAAGAACUCAUGCCCAAUUUGCAAGUCGGCUGCUGCAUAGGACACGCGAGGACAAACAACAAUAUGGUCCUCAAAUUUGUUAGUAUUUAGACCCAAUUAAGUUGUUUCAUUCUUUGUGCGCCUCAGCCAUGUAAAUAAAUGUCUGAAGAAGCAGUCGUGGAGCUUGAAUGCGUAAGCGGGAGGUUCAGAAAGGGCCGCUACCAAGUCAUAGAUGGUUAAGAGGUGGCUGUCUCGUGAAAAAGUUUAGGUUUUAUUGGGUCUUGGGCUCUUGGCCUAUGUUAGCCCAAAUAAAGCCCAUGCUUUGGGGCCCUUGCUCGGUUGAGCUCGUUGCCUCCUUUGGAGUAAAAGAAGGAAUUGUGCGAAAUCGAUCCUACAAAAUUCCUGUUCCAACAGUUUAACCGCUGCCAUUGACAGGGAACGGUUUGGGAUGUUAACAAAAUCUCUAGAGGUUGUGCCGCUCACCCUAAUUGCUGAUUAAAAUCAAUAGCAAGUCUCAUUCCAUCUAGAAAGUUAAAAGGCCUUGGACUUUGGAUGAAUGGUUAGACAUCAGAGGUAGAUCUCCUGAAGUUUUACCUCUUCUGGAUCAGAAGGUUUGAUGUCAGAAAUCCUUGAAACACAUCAUACCUAAUGAUGGUGAUGUUGCUUUAGGAAUGCAUAAUCGGUUUCGAUUUUACUUCGGCUUCAAGAUUUGCAGAUCCUUGAGCUACAGGGAGUGUUUGGUUACUGUUAUAUGCGAAAGAUAUAUAAUUUUACCGACCACAUCGAUGUGCCUACAUGGGUAAUGCUGAUAUACAUGGGACACACGGCUGGUUUGACAGAUA